AUUGAACGCUGGCGGAAGGCCUAACACAUGCAAGUCGAACGAGUGGCGGACGGGGGAGUAAUGUCUGGGACACUGCCUGAUGGAGGGGGAUAACUACUGGAAACGGUAGCUAAUACCGCAUACCAUCAGAUGUGCCCAGAUGGGGUUAGCUAGUUGGUGGGGUAACGGCUCACCAAGGCGACUAUCCCUAGCUGGUCUGAGAGGAUGACCAGCCACACUGGAACUGAGACACGGUCCAGACGAAUAUGGGAGGCAUGAAAGGGGAAUAUUGCACAGUGGAAUCAAGCCUGAUGCAGACAUGCCGCGUGUAUGGAGAAGUCAUUCGGGUUGGAAAGUACUAUCAGCGGUGAAGAGUUACCCGCAGAAGAAGCACCGGCUAACUCCGUGCCAGCAGCCGCGGUAAUUC
rnacentral:rRNA from 1 species